GAAAAAAGAAAAAAGAAAAAAAAAGCAAAAUAAAAAUCAAACACAAUAAUCCCACAUCCCAAUUCUCAAUCGUCCCCUCCGAGGCCCCCGCAAGUCUCCAUCAGCCUUCACGCGCCGCCCCGACUCCUCCUGCUCGGUCCCUGCCGCCGUCGCUUCUCCUUCUUUCUCUCCAUGCCGCGUCGCAGCUCUGUUCUUCAUCUCUGAUUGUCGUCGGCUGCUACACCCUUUCGUCUCAGGUCUCAGAUAACAAUCUAAACUGAAGUGGAGAGCACGAAGGGAUGGGCCCUAGAUCACUAAUUCAGAGGGUAACACCAUACUUGGUGGCACGUAUCAAGGAGAAUCAAAGGCUUCUUAGCUCUUCUGCUUCAGCCUAUCAAGAAGCAUUGCCUUUGUCUCCAUCUCCAUCCCCAUCUGCCCCUGUUGAUACCAUUCACAUGACUGAUAGUUGCAUUCGGAGAAUGAAAGAAUUGCAAGAUCCCAAGGAAGAAAAGAUGCUUCGCUUGAGUGUAGAAACUGGGGGGUGUUCUGGAUUUCAAUAUGUUUUCAAUUUGGAUGGAAAAACCAAUCCUGAUGAUAGGAUAUAUGAGAAAGAGGGAGUUAAAUUGGUAGUUGAUAACAUCUCAUACGAUUUUGUAAAAGGAGCAACAAUUGAUUAUGUUGAAGAGCUGAUUCGUUCUGCUUUUGUUGUGAGUACAAAUCCAAGUGCCGUUGGUGGGUGUAGUUGUAAAAGUUCUUUCAUGGUCAAACAAUAAUCAUCUCAAAGCUUCCUUCAGUUGGACCCUUUCCUACAAGGCGUACACAAUUAUCAACGCUGACCUGAAGGACAAAGAAAUGUGUAGGGUCCCCUUACUUGAAAACAUGUCCUAAGGUAUGAGUUUGUGGACAAUAAAGGUGGAAGCCAUGAUGGCAAAGCACAUGCUUACUGCACAAACAAAAUAGUAUCACAUUAUGAAGCUUACACCUUUUCAUUUCAUAUUUGGUUAUAAAAUGGAAACUUAUGGUAAACCAAUGACAUUAUGAGUUUGGAAUUUUGGUGAUUUUUGGUUUUGAAAUGAUCACGCCAUCUUUCUUCUUUCUCCAUUCUUAUCUUUUACGAUGGAUUAUAAACUUUUCUUUUCCAAGCAGUGUUUUAAAAAGCUCUCUUCACCAUAGACGCAUUUGGAGGCAGACCUUUUGUGAAGCUCCAACCCUCUAAACUUUUGGUUCUGAGGCUUUAUCGUUUUUUAAAAUAGUUAUAAUUAAAAUGUUUACCUUUCAAGGUUUGGACUUUGGAGUCUCACUUUUCGUAAGACUCACAAAAUAAGGUCAACCUUUUGUGAA